AUUUUUGGAUUUCUCUCCGUAAGAACCAAAAAAUAAAUAAAAAAUAGUAACAAAAAUCAGUGAAUAAGGCUCGAUAGUAUUAAAAGACAAAAAAAAUAGUACGGACACAACAAUAAUCACUAACCUCCUAGGAAUACUCAACCAUGAGAAAAGAAGAAAAUAAAAAUCUCGUACAUUUUGUAUGCAUAUUUCAAAACCUUAAAGAACAGCACUAAUGUAUUACUUGUAUAGUAAAAUUUCCUAGUAUACAUCUGUGAUUUCCAUGUACAAUAUAAAGCUAAAAGAAAAGCUAAAACAACAAACGUAUAUCAAACUAGUAGUUACAAAACCUUUGGAAUUUGAGACAUAAGAUUAUGAAUGAAAAAGGUAACAUUGAUUAUGUAGAGCCGGAUGUGACCUAGCGAUUAAUAAAUUGGACAAAAGAAUAUUUUUCUUUUGUGGACGAACUUACCAAAUAUAUGUACUAGUCGAGAUGCAGACAAGCUGACUAGAAAACACAGCUAUAAUAAAAAUUAAUUGUGUAGAGGGUUUGGUCCUCCGGGAACAGUUCGAUGUGAAACUCUAUAGCUUUGAUCAAUAUUUUCUUUUGUUGAUGUUUUAGGAGCUGGUGCAGAAAUAUGCCAUGAAAAUCUUGAAUCUAACUUUGUGUUGAAUCUUUGUUCUGUGCUUGUUGGGGUGAUUUCUUGAAUUUUUCUACAGCUUGAUAAUUGAGUACUAGCAGAGAGUAUCACCAUAAUUAGCAGAAAUGGAAAAGCAAGGCAAUGAACUCUCAUGACUAUAAAAAUAGAAAGAAGAAGAAGAGAAAGAAAGAAAGAAAUAUAGGAAAUGGAGAGAGUAAAAUUAGGCAGGUGGAUUGGAUUUUGAGUUUAUUCACUUUUUGUAGAGGUGAUGAUUAGUCUCUAUUAAUAUGUGUUAAAAGAAUCUGUGGUGCAGAUAAGAACCAGAAAAAACUAACAUUGUCUAAUCUGAAAUGACAUAUAUACCCUCAUCAGUUUUCCUUUCUCAUUUCUUAAAUAGUUUAAUCAAAGUCUAAUAGCCACUAAUGUUUAUAUUAGGGUAAGUUAUCUACAUCACAUUCAUUGAAGUGCGGCCUUUCUCUAUCCCCUACGUGAAUACGUAAUACUUU
rnacentral:lncRNA from 1 species